rnacentral:misc_RNA from 1 species
CGCACCUUGCACCCUCUGGUAUUCCGGAGGGUAUGCCUGUCUGAGUGUCAUGUAGACUCAACCUUUCGGGUCCUACCCGGCUGGUUGGAUUUGGGCGUUGCCUAUUGCUGGCUCGCCUUAAAAGCGUUAGUGGUGUCAGGUUUUGGGUCGGCGUAAUACGUUUCGUCGUUCCAGGCUGAAGCACUGCUCAUAACACCAAAUUGUAACUCUGGCCUCAGAUCAGGUAGGACUACCCGCUGAACUUAA